rnacentral:rRNA from 1 species
GAUGAACGCUGGCGGCGUGCCUAAUACAUGCAAGUCGAGCGAACAGACGAGGAGCUUGCUCCUCUGACGUUAGCGGCGGACGGGUGAGUAACACGUUGAUAACCUACCUAUAAGACUGGGAUAACUUCGGGAAACCGGAGCUAAUACCGGAUAAUAUAUUGAACCGCAUGGUUCAAUAGUGAAAGACGGUUUUGCUGUCACUUAUAGAUGUAUCCGCGCCGCAUUAGCUAGUUGGUAAGGUAACGGCUUACCAAGGCAACGAUGCGUAGCCGACCUGAGAGGGUGAUCGGCCACACUGGAACUGAGACACGGUCCAGACUACUACGGGAGGCAGCAGUAGGGAAUCUUCCGCAAUGGGCGAAAGCCUGACGGAGCAACGCCGCGUGAGUGAUGAAGGUCUUCGGAUCGUAAAACUCUGUUAUUAGGGAAGAACAAAUGUGUAAGUAACUAUGCACGUCUUGACGGUACCUAAUUAGAAAGCCACGGCUAACUACGUG